ensembl:lincRNA
UGCUGCCUUAUGAUAAAAUGUUAUUUUUCAGAGUACUGGAGGUUGGAGACAGAGAUCAAAUGGCAGCACUGUUGGAUUCUGGUGAGGACCUUACCCUGGAUGCAUACAACAUAUUUUUUAUGUCCUCACAUGAGGGAAGAAACGCCCAAGAGCUCUGUGGGCUCCUUGACACUGGUCCCUAAUUUUAGUCAUUAGUGCUCUACUCCUCCCACCCCAUGAUCUAUUCACUUUUCAAAGCACCCCUCUUUAAAUGUAUCAAGUUGGAGGUUAGGGCUUUUAACGUAUGAAAACUGGGAUGACACAAAUGUACCACCAAUCACACUUCCCGAUAUUUGUGUACUAAGAGAUUGUGGACGAGUUGAGCAUCUUCAAGAUCAUGAUUUUCUGUGCUUAGGCAAUGUACUUCCCAACCUCAAAAACAUAUUAAAUGCUGUGUUUUGUUUAGUGAAAUAAUUCCCCAAAUUUGCUGCUGCUAAAGAGAAAUGGAUUCAUUUUCAUCCCAGUGACAUGGCCACUUGAGUUCGGGGUUUGUUUGCAUGGAGGAAGGAACUGGCACAGUGUAGUGUGUGCUGUGCUUCAAGAUCAGGCAUGCUGUUUCUCUGUGAUCGAAAUGAACAACCAAAACUCAGAAUUUCUCUUGUUCUUAUGUUCUUCAUUCAUGCACCAUGAAGAAGAAAUUUCUCAGUGAGGAGAGAGUAGCAGUUACUGUGUAAGUGGGAGACCAUGGCUUGCUGCAUCUCUGGAGUAAACUCUCAGAAAUGUUGGGUGCUGCUUUGACGUACACAAAGAAUGGGACGGGUUAGAGCAUGGAGGGAGCUGUCACAGGACUCUGGAGGUGAAGGAGAAUAUGCAUUGUCUCUUCAUUUCAUCCAUCUUCAUUUUAACCAGCAGCUAGACGUGCUACAGCCCCCACUCCCCUGGACCUACCAUGGCUGCACCACGGAUUUGUAUACAGCAUGGACAGAGAGGCAAGAGAGGCCCGUUGUUAACAAUCCUGAUGAGAGUUAAUGCAUGCUGAAUAGGGAUUUAUAUUCUAGCUUAAGAGUCAUUAAAAAUGGAUAGUCUGUUGAGGUAUUCUAUCUUGGAUUUGGACUUUGAAGAAAAAUCUUCCGAUAAAAGCCUUGUAAAGGUCUCUGAGUAGCUUCAAAUUUCCUUCAUAUUCACAACACUCUUUGAAAGGGAAGAUUACCCAGUGUCCAUUGUAAUCAGUGACUGACAGUCAUCAGGGUGGGAAUUCUGACUCUCUGAGACUUCUCAGACAUCUGUUUAAUCCAGGUAGGUAAAAAGUGAGACCAUUUUAUGUUGGCAAGUUAAAUCUAUCCCACACAGACAGGCUGAUUAUGGCUGAUGACAGCCCUUGGUUGGCACUUACCACCAAUAAUAUUUUUGUGUGUAGAGGGCCAGUGAAGGUGUGAUGUGUGUCAGGAUCUCUAUGAUAGACUUCUCUCCAAGAUGCAGGUAUCCAGAGAUGCAUUUGGAAGAUAAUAGGUUCAGUUUCAUGAGCUUUACUGUUAGCUCUGUGAUGUGCUGAUACCUAAAAUUCUCAGCAUAGGCAUAGCUGUAGCAGGUGGAAUUGCCCGAGGUUAUAGAUUGCUGGAUGUAAUUAUUCAAGCACAGUUGUGUUGACAGGCAGCUUCAGAAAUAUAGAGAUUCUAAUCAUGGUCUUGCCGAGAUUGGUGGGGAUUGCUCCUUGAAUAAAUAAAAUACAAAAUUCGUACUGAUACAUGUGAAUGUGCUUCUCACGGAUAGUCCUAUUAUCAGAAAAAAAGCAUGUUGCAUUAAAGGUCAGGUGUACUACUUUAAAAAUAUCUGACACAGGAGAAGAAUAAAUUAACUAGCAUUUAUGCAGAGGCUUCUUUUGAUGUCACUCUCAUUAAGGAGGAAUACCUAAACAAUUGAAGUAGCAAUUUCUGACUUCAUAGGACCUUAAUGAAAUUACCAAGAAACAAUACACAUGUAAACAAAGAAGCCUGUCCUCAAAUAUAAGCCUAUGUAAACAAAGAAUGUUCAUUUACAAGGCUAGAAGUUGACAUGAAGGGAUUCUUUAUAAUUCUUUAUAAUAGAGUUCAUUAGAGGGAGCCAAACUGUAGGAAAUGCAGUAAUCCAGUACUAGGGUAUGUAGCCCACCUCUUCUUCAUCCUCCACAUGACAGAGUGUCUAGACUGGUCAGAUGAUGACGUAUACCUGCUGAAGUGGGAGAAAGAAGCUCAAAAUACGCCCUAUGUAUCAAGACAUUCUUGUGAGCUGUGUAACUAAAAUCCCAGUGCUCUUCUAGUAUAGCUGGCAGGUUUAGCAAAUAAAAAUACAGGACUCCCAGGUAAAGCUCAGCUUCAGACCAUCAUGGAAGUAUUUCUCAUUUUUAAUGGAUUUGAGAAAGAUUUAGGCACACAAGAAAGUUGAGUUGGAAGUACAUAGGUUUCCCAAAUUCACCCUGACACUAUACACACACAGCCUCAACUCCAUAGCUUCUUCUAAUUACAUCCCAUACCAGAGGGUACAUUUGUUACAACCGAUAAAUGUAUGCCAGCACUCCAUUAGCACCCAAAGCCCACGGCUAACAGGAAAGUCAUUUUUGGUGGCACAUACUCUUUUGGUUUUGGAAAAUAUAUGAUGACAUACAUCUAUCAUCAUAGAAUUUAGUACUGUCACAGAUAUAAAAAUCUCUGCCUAGUCCUCCCCCUCUUGGCCAAAUUCUAGCAACUAUUGACAAUCCCAGUUCUAUUUUUCUAGAAUGUCACACAGUUGGUAAUCUUUUUAGAUUGGCUUCAUUCACUUACAUGCAUUUAAGUUCCCUACAUGUCUUUACACAGGUGGUAUUUAUUUUCAUUCCUGAAUGAUUAUCUAUUGUUUCACUUUAGCACACUAUAAUUAAUCAUUACUUUGUGAAGGACAUCCUACUUGCCAAGUGCUUUGCUUCUAAAAUAAAUCUUCACCUCACUUGGGCAAAUACCAAAGGGAGUGACUGAAGAUUGCAUCUUAAGAGUAUGUUUACUUUGUAAGGACUUUUCUCUCAAUAGGAUUAUGCUCUCGUUAUUGUAUGGUAUGUCUACUCAUACAGUGGCUUCAUGUAGGGCAAUAGGCAUAGAGGACACAAAAAUUUAGUUAUAGAAAUCAGGUGAACUUUUAAAUCUCUAUCCAAUCCUCCAGUUGAAGCAACCAAUUCCUUAGCAGUCGUUCUAUUACUAGAAAGAGCAAGAGACUCUAAAGUGAACAGGGAUAGACGGAGACACCGGGUGUGAUGUGUGCACGUGCACAUAUAUCCAUGCAGGUACUCAAAGAGGGCCAGAGGUUAACGUCAGGCAUCCCUUUCCUUACUUUCUCCAGUCUCUCUGGAUGUGGAGUACCCCGGUUUGGCCAAAACAUUUGACAAGUGAGCUUCAGAGACACACUGGUUUUUGCUCCAUAACAAUGAGAUUGCCGACAGACAUAGGUAGAUUCUUAACUUGCAUACCUGUGUUCUGAUGCUCCAUAUCCUGCUUUGUCAUCAUCAGGUUUAUUGAUUCUAGAUACAAUUCCUCUUCUCUUGUUUCAGAACAAUCAGGUUUUAUCUCAGCCAAAAUAUGAGGCUUCCAAAAUAUAGAGAAAUAUCUUGAUUAUUUGCUGAUGAUGAAAUACUUGAGCAUCACAGAUGAUCUUCCAAAUUAUUCAAUAAAAAUCCACAAACAGAUCCAAUAUAGAAAGCCUGAGAAAACAUUUCUUAUGAACCUUAGUUCAGUCCUAUGCAGCAGCCAAGGGCAGAACCCUACUGUGUAGGGCACUAGAACCUGUUGUUUGAUCAGUAGGAGCAAAUAUAAUGACCUUGUUCAAAAACACGGAGGGAGGAAAUGGAUGCAAUACAUAUAAUUCCAAUUAAAUACUUUGAUAAUUUGCAAUUCAUGUAAUGUUUGAUAGUUUUGUUUAAGGUGAGCAUUGAUAUUUGGGAGCCUUUAAAUGGUCACAGGAAUAGAUGUUGAGUUACAAUUUCAAUGCUACUGUUAUCAACAAAAAACAGUCACUGCAUGAUAUAUUAAUAUGUAUGUUCAAGAAAGACAUAUUUGUAGAUGGAAGUACAGGAAGCCCCUAGCUUAUCUAAUUCCCAAGGCAGGUUAAUAUUUUGUAAAUUACUAAAUUUUAUUUGUAAAAAAUUGUAUUUGCCUUGUACCUCCAUGAAUACACACACACACACACCUUUAAUUAUUAUAUUGUUUUGAUCAUGGUGUGGGAAGGUAGUGAUAUAAAAAGGGAAUUUAAUGUGGUCUCACUGGCAUUAGCAACAUAAGUUGGACUGAUUGAUAUUUGCUUUAGAACAGUCUUUAAAAAUAAUUUAUAUUAUUUAAAAACAAUCUCAGUACUUUGUGCUAAAUUUUUCAAGAUUGCAUGCAGGGCAAUAUUUACAGUUACGUUUCAUCCUUGCUAUGGAAUUUUAGCCUGUAAAUGUUACUGCAAAUAAAUCUUCCUAAAAGAG